GCGCCCCGGGGUCCCGGGCGGGGGACAGCGGGCCGCCGGCGGGCGAGGCCGCGCUCACCUUGCUCUUCACUUCCACCGCGCUGCACUCCAGAUUAGAGGAGCUGCUUUUCUGCGCUUCAAUUUUUGCCCGCUUCUUCAACUUUGAAUUAAACACUCAUCACAGUAAACAAGAGCAGAGCUGGGACACAUGUUUAAAGCAGCUUCAGAGAACUUGUUCUGCUGUUGUCUACUCUUCACACACCUAUGCUGUACCUUGAUGAGCAGUGACUUCAUCUCCAUAUACCAGCAGGGAAUCAAAAAAUGCUUGUUCUCAGACUGCCCUGGCUCCAUGGUGCACCAGGUGCUGCAGCUCCUAUCAGCUGCUUCCCCCUCAAACUCUUGCCAUAUUUUCAAUAUGAAGAAUUUUCAGUAAUGAAGAUGGUUUUAAUUUAACUGCUUUUACUCAGACACCUUUCAGCUCUUUUCUCAUCAUUUGCCAAGGGCACCACAUUCCUUUAGUAACUUCUAUAAGUCUUCAUCUGUUUUGGUAAUCUGUAAUUAGUUUUCCCAUUUCUCACCUGCAGAGCUAAAAUCAGCAUUUCUUCCGUGGCUGCUGUGUCCCAGCCCUUGCUGACAUGGCUGGAGUGGGGUGGGCUCGGCAGUCAUUCAUCCCCAGCCCGGCCCCUUAGCCCCUUUCUGCACCCAUCACAGCCACCAAAUACCCUCAUUUCUUGCCCUAAGUAUGGCAGGGAUGCUAGCGCAGGAAUCCUAUCAGGCCAUAUAUUUAAAAAUAAAUAUUCAAUUACU